rnacentral:rRNA from 1 species
GGCCCUACGGGAGGCAGCAGUGAGGAAUAUUGGUCAAUGGGCGGGAGCCUGAACCAGCCAAGUCGCGUGAGGGAAGAAGGUACUGAGUAUUGUAAACCUCUUUUGCCAGGGGACAAAGGCGGCCACGGGUGGCCGUAAGAGGGUACCUGGAGAAAAAGCAUCGGCUAACUCCGUGCCAGCAGCCGCGGUAAUACGGAGGAUGCGAGCGUUAUCCGGAUUUAUUGGGUUUAAAGGGUGCGCAGGCGGAUUUUUAAGUCAGCGGUCAAAUCGUGGGGCUCAACCCCAUCCAGCCGUUGAAACUGGGG